rnacentral:rRNA from 1 species
AGAGUUUGAUUCAUGCUCAGGAUGAACGCUGGCGGCGUGCCUAAUACAUGCAAGUCGAGCGAACGGACGAGAAGCUUGCUUCUCUGAUGUUAGCGGCGGACGGGUGAGUAACACGUGGAUAACCUACCUAUAAGACUGGGAUAACUUCGGGAAACCGGAGCUAAUACCGGAUAAUAUUUUGAACCGCAUGGUUCAAAAGUGAAAGGCGGUCUUGCUGUCACUUAUAGAUGGAUCCGCGCUGCAUUAGCUAGUUGGUAAGGUAACGGCUUACCAAGGCAACGAUGCAUAGCCGACCUGAGAGGGUGAUCGGCCACACUGGAACUGAGACACGGUCCAGACUCCUACGGGAGGCAGCAGUAGGGAAUCUUCCGCAAUGGGCGAAAGCCUGACGGAGCAACGCCGCGUGAGUGAUGAAGGUCUUCGGAUCGUAAAACUCUGUUAUUAGGGAAGAACAUAUGUGUAAGUAACUGUGCACAUCUUGACGGUACCUAAUCAGAAAGCCACGGCUAACUACGUGCCAGCAGCCGCGGUAAUACGUAGGUGGCAAGCGUUAUCCGGAAUUAUUGGGCGUAAAGCGCGCGUAGGCGGUUUUUUAAGUCUGAUGUGAAAGCCCACGGCUCAACCGUGGAGGGUCAUUGGAAACUGGAAAACUUGAGUGCAGAAGAGGAAAGUGGAAUUCCAUGUGUAGCGGUGAAAUGCGCAGAGAUAUGGAGGAACACCAGUGGCGAAGGCGACUUUCUGGUCUGUAACUGACGCUGAUGUGCGAAAGCGUGGGGAUCAAMCAGGAUUAGAUACCCUGGUAGUCCACGCCGUAAACGAUGAGUGCUAAGUGUUAGGGGGUUUCCGCCCCUUAGUGCUGCAGCUAACGCAUUAAGCACUCCCGCCCUGGGG